GCACCAGUGGAGCAAUCGGUCAGCGCGCGGUACUUAUAAUGCCGAGGUUGUGAGUUCGAGCCUCACCUGGAGCA
rnacentral:tRNA from 1 species